GGUAUCGUUGAGUUUGAAAUUGUGGCCCGGCCUGGGGCUGACUGGCUGGCUCAUUUGGGCCGGUCAGUUGGCCCUUUGGCCCUUUUUUGUCCAGUGGGGCCCACGAGCCCUUUGGCCUGACCCUCGGUUGGAGACGAUUUUCGGGCUAUUUUUGGCCUUCUAGCCCUCUGGACCCUUCAGUUAGAGAUGUUCUUAGUUUCCACCCUAGUCCCAAGUCCAGGUAUCCACUUUCCAAAUUAAUCUCACACUCACUCCCACCUAUCCACCAUCCGUCAUUCCCUCGACUCUGACGAGAUCUAAGAGAACCAGCCCAUCAUCGUCGCCGUGACCAACACAACGGCACCACCUAUCCAACCAUCCUCCUCGACGACAUCCCACUCCUAGGACCCAGAGAACCCAGAUCCUAGAUCCCAGAACCUCAAUUCUCUCAUCUUCGACAACACCACCGACGUCGAGGACACUGCUACCAGCCUAGAUUCUUUUUUUUGGUCGGCUACCUAAGUGAACCAGAGAAGUGGGGCUACUCUGCUAAUUGGGAGAAAGUACUAGUCUUCUUCUUUGGAACCCAACAUAUGUAAGUACUUAAUGCUUUCUUGAUAUUUUUCUAUAGAUUGCCCUUGAAAAAUAGGGAUGGCACCACUCUGCUGAUUUGUUGUUAUUAGUUAUGGCUCUUAUUGCGGAUGUCAUGUUUAUGUUAUUUUGGAUUAUUUGAUUUUAGACUUUGAAAUUUGGAUGUCUUGGACUCUCGACUAUUUUGUAUGUUGGUUUGAUCUUUAGAUGUCUCUCGGAUGUUAUUUUGAAUGUCUCGGAUUUAAUGUUUCGAACGAUGUUGGACGAUGUAAUGUUGUUAUUUUGGAUGUAUUGUUAAUCUAUGGACUUGGAUGUUGGACUUUGUAA